CACGUAGGGCGCAAGCGUUGUCCGGAAUUAUUGGGCGUAAAGAGCUCGUAGGCGGUCUGUUGCGUCCGCUGUGAAAACUCGGGGCUUAACCCCGAGCCUGCAGUGGAUACGGGCAGACUAGAGGUAGGUAGGGGAGAAUGGAAUUCCCGGUGUAGCGGUGAAAUGCGCAGAUAUCGGGAGGAACACCGGUGGCGAAGGCGGUUCUCUGGGACGGUACUGGACGCUGAGACGCGAAAGCGUGGGGAGCGAACAGG
rnacentral:rRNA from 1 species